rnacentral:rRNA from 1 species
UACGUAGGCAGCGAGCGUUGUUCGGAGUUACUGGGCGUAAAGAGUGCGUAGGCGGUUUUCUAAGUUUGGUGUGAAAUCUCCCGGCUUAACUGGGAGGGUGCGCCGAAGACUGGAAGGCUUGAGUAUGGGAGAGGUAAGCGGAAUUCCUGGUGUAGCGGUGAAAUGCGUAGAGAUCGGGAGGAACACCAGUGGCGAAGGCGACUAUCUGGCUGACAACUGGCGCUGAGACUCGAAAGCAUGGGGAGCAAACAGG